CUGUCAGAUCAGGCAGAAACUGAAUCACGGUGACAGGGCUGCAUGUUAUAUGGAGUACAUAGGGAGGGUUGUUGGAGGUUGAACUGGUUGAGCAGAAACUAGAAAAAAAGGGGGCGGGGCUGAGGAUGAGGAACAAGCUGGCAUCAAUCACAGGGAUCUGUAAAAAUUGAGAGAGGGAGGAAUGAGUGUGAAAUGUGUGAUCUGAGGAUACUGACUUGCUGUGACACAGAACUUAAAAUGUGAACCCUGUUCACUCUGAUUCUAGCCAUUAAAACACAAAAUGGCAGCAGCAUCUUCCACUGCAAACACUUCACAUGGUCCAAUAUGUUUGUUUUACUACAACUUGUGGUGGUUGCGGAGUGGUUUGGAUUUAAAAGUAACUACAGCAAGGUGACAUCAUUAGGGUAAGCAACUCUGAAGUCACUUCAACAAGAUUUACAUAUCAGUUUUAUCAAGUGCUUGGAAAGAACCACAAUGCUUGUGAUGUGCACCGUAUUUCAUGGAAAUUCCUUGGUUAUUUGUCCAAUCUCAAAUACUUUAUCUUCCUUUUAUGUAGAAUUUAAUUAUUUACAUUUUGGAAGCUUAAAAAUUCAAAUCCAGUCAUAAGAAUUUUUUUGGUGCCUUUUCCGAUUUUCCGAAGUUUACAGGAAGGGGCAUUGCAGUAUCUAUAUACAUUAAUCAUGGGUGCAAAGUUGAGAAUGGUCAAACAGCAAAGAUCUUUGAGAGUGAACUGACAUAGACAUAGCCAGUGUCUACAGCUGUUUGUUCUACCAGUAUAAUUUUGCCAAAUCUGAAGCAGUGGUACAGUCACAUGUGAAGGAGGCCUAAUGCAUGAGACUUUCUUUCUCAUGAUGACUUUUGUUUUCGAGAAGUUCUGCGGCAGGACAUUUAGCCAAGGCACGGGCAGCUCCCACCUGCCCCAGAUCUCAGAAUGUCACGGCAAACCGGGGGAGUGCCUGUGAUGUAUUUACUCCGAGACAUGUAAACAUCAAAGCUUUCCGACCUCCCCGCAAGGGGAGCCGGGAGAUUGAUGAGGUCCCUCCUGUUUGCUCUGUGUAUCUGCCAGUGCUCACAAAGGCGGGCCACCCUUCACCAAGGCUAAUGUCCCAGCAUAUUUAAAGUUCAGUCCGCAAAAUGAAGGUCUGACCCAUAGCCUUGACUACCUACCCUGAAACAUGAGACUUUCCACCUGCCUGAUCAAAGGAAAUUACUGAAGAGGCUGGAUUCGAAACCAUUACGCCAACAAUACCUAGCUAUUCAUUUUUAACUAUGACUGUUUUAUGCUCCAAUGAGCAGUGAGGUUUAUACUCUUUCAUUAAAUAAUAAAACACUAAUACAUUGAUAAAUAUGAAACACAGAUUUUCUUUUUUUAAUCAAGUACAAGAGACUACAUGCAUAAAUUAGUUUGAUAGAUUUUGAUGAACUUAAAGUGGUCAUUAAAUCCUCAAUUGGACCAAUUUCUCACAUAAAACUAGAGCAUAUUCAUUUGACAGCAAAUGAACUCUGUCCUUCAACUGAAUUUUACUUCUCUCAGAAGUAGUUAAUCAGUAGCAAAGACUGUGAGCAGGUUACACAAAGAGCCUUUUCUGGUUUCUGGUCAACACCGAAAACAAGAAUGAGGGGGGGAAAAAAAGAACUCGCUUAUCAGAAACUCGCUUUCCUAAUAAGGAGUGAGGUGAAACUGUCUAUGGAGUGAUGUCAGAAAUGCAAUGAAGGAGGAACCACAAGAUCUUGCACAACCAGCAAAGACUUUUUAAAUGAAAGAAAACGCACAAAGUCUCAGCACACGAUCCUGGAAAGAAUAUGUUUGAAAGAAAAAUAUAAAACAAUGAAACCAUCAGUUGGAAUUUUUGAUAUUCAUCCAAAAGUGGCAACUUUGAGAUCACUAAAGUCACCCCUAGAAUUAGAAUGUGGUUUAUUCCUUAUUAUGUAAAUUAAGGGAGGAGUCUCAACAGGUGAAACUGAUGAAGCAAUAAAUGUGUGAA